GACGAACGCUGGCGGCGUGCCUAAUACAUGCAAGUCGAGCGGACAGAAGGGAGCUUGCUCCCGGAUGUUAGCGGCGGACGGGUGAGUAACACGUGGGUAACCUGCCUGUAAGACUGGGAUAACUCCGGGAAACCGGAGCUAAUACCGGAUAGUUCCUUGAACCGCAUGGUUCAAGGAUGAAAGACGGUUUCGGCUGUCACUUACAGAUGGACCCGCGGCGCAUUAGCUAGUUGGUGAGGUAACGGCUCACCAAGGCGACGAUGCGUAGCCGACCUGAGAGGGUGAUCGGCCACACUGGGACUGGGACACGGCCCAGACUCCUACGGGAGGCAGCAGUAGGGAAUCUUCCGCAAUGGACGAAAGUCUGACGGAGCAACGCCGCGUGAGUGAUGAAGGUUUUCGGAUCGUAAAGCUCUGUUGUUAGGGAAGAACAAGUGCAAGAGUAACUGCUUGCACCUUGACGGUACCUAACCAGAAAGCCACGGCUAACUACGUGCCAGCAGCCGCCGUAAUAC
rnacentral:rRNA from 1 species